UACAGAGGGGGCAAGCGUUGUUCGGAAUUACUGGGCGUAAAGGGCGCGUAGGCGGCCUGUGAAGUCGAACGUGAAAUCCCCGGGCUCAACCCGGGAACUGCGUCCGAUACUGGCAGGCUUGAAUCCGGGAGAGGGAUGCGGAAUUCCAGGUGUAGCGGUGAAAUGCGUAGAUAUCUGGAGGAACACCGGUGGCGAAGGCGGCAUCCUGGACCGGCAUUGACGCUGAGGCGCGAAAGCUAGGGGAGCAAACGGG
rnacentral:rRNA from 1 species